UGAAACAUUUGUCGAUUGUAUUGAUUUGAAUGUUUGAUUUUUUUGCAGAUUUUACUUUGAUUUCAGCAUGACUUAUGUUGGAGCAGGAAUGAUUUGUUCUCAUCUUGUCAAUUUAUCAUUGUUUUUCGGUGUUGUGGUUUCAUGGGGCAUUAUGUGGCCAUUGAUCAGAGUACUUAAAGGAAGUUGGUUCUCUGAAAGUUUACCGGAGAGUAGCAUGAAGAGUCUUAAUGGUUAUAAGGUUUUUAUUUCCAUUGCAUUAAUCCUUGGUGAUGAACUCUACAAUUUUAUCAAAAUUAUAUAUUUUAGUGCCUUUUUAUCUUCUCUUUAUUUCUUGGUUUUGUUUCCCUUUUCUAUUAUGUUAAUGGUGUUUCCCUUGUUGAUGACUUUCUAUAUAUAAAGUCUUAGUGUAUGGAGAUUGUCCAUUUCUUGUUUCAUACCUUCUUGAUUUUUCAGCAUCAACCUCGGGAGUAGAUGGGAGCUUGUCGGUAUCUAGAUUUCCCGUUGAUCAUGAAAUCAAUUUGAGGAUUUAUUUGUAGAUGGAUUCUGUUGUAAAUUCAACCAAUGAGGUGUUCAAUGAUCCCACGACAUUAACAAAGGAGGAGCUGUAUAAUUUGCGAGACCGUUGGGCAACUUGUUUUCUUGACCUAUAUAAUCCUGAGGUAGAUUAUGAUGAUGCCGAUGAGAAAGAUUAGGAGCUAGCUAGCUAGGUUUGUGUGAAGUUACAAUGGAUUAGUAUUAAUUAUGAUGAUGU